CCUACGGGAGGCAGCAGUGAGGAAUAUUGGUCAAUGGACGAGAGUCUGAACCAGCCAAGUAGCGUGAAGGAUGACUGCCCUAUGGGUUGUAAACUUCUUUUAUAUAGGAAUAAAAUGUUCCACGUGUGGGUUUUUGUAUGUACCUUAUGAAUAAGGAUCGGCUAACUCCGUGCCAGCAGCCGCGGUAAUACGGAGGAUCCGAGCGUUAUCCGGAUUUAUUGGGUUUAAAGGGAGCGUAGGUGGAUUGUUAAGUCAGUUGUGAAAGUUUGCGGCUCAACCGUAAAAUUGCAGUUGAAACUGGCAGUCUUGAGUACAGUAGAGGUAGGCGGAAUUCGUGGUGUAGCGGUGAAAUGCUUAGAUAUCACGAAGAACCCCGAUUGCGAAGGCAGCUCACUGGACUGUAACUGACACUGAGGCUCGAAAGUGUGGGUAUCAAACAGGAUUAGAUACCCUUGUAGUC
rnacentral:rRNA from 1 species